rnacentral:rRNA from 1 species
CCUACGGGUGGCAGCAGUGGGGAAUAUUGCACAAUGGGCGCAAGCCUGAUGCAGCGACGCCGCGUGAGGGAUGACGGCCUUCGGGUUGUAAACCUCUGUUAGCAGGGAAGAAGAGAGAUUGACGGUACCUGCAGAGAAAGCGCCGGCUAACUACGUGCCAGCAGCCGCGGUAAUACGUAGGGCGCGAGCGUUGUCCGGAAUUAUUGGGCGUAAAGAGCUUGUAGGCGGUUUGUCGCGUCUGCUGUGAAAGGCCGGAGCUUAACUCCGUGUAUUGCAGUGGGUACGGGCAGACUAGAGUGCAGUAGGGGAGACUGGAAUUCCUGGUGUAGCGGUGGAAUGCGCAGAUAUCAGGAGGAACACCGAUGGCGAAGGCAGGUCUCUGGGCUGUAACUGACGCUGAGAAGCGAAAGCAUGGGGAGCGAACAGGAUUAGAUACCCUUGUAGUC